rnacentral:piRNA from 1 species
UAGGCUGAACAGGUAGCCAGGUGGAGA